rnacentral:rRNA from 1 species
UUAACGCUUGGCGGGGGGCCUAGCACAUGCACCUCGAGCGCCGGUAACGGGGAGCGGCCUACUGUGGUGUAACGCGGGGGAACGUUCCUUUUGCUCCGGAACACUCCUGAAACUUGUGGAUAUACCGUAUGUGCCCGAAAGGGGAAAGAUUUCGUCGCAAAGGAUCGGCCCGGGUUGUAUUAGCCUCUUGGUGAGGUAAAGGCUCACCUGGGCAACGAUCCAUAGCUGGUCUGAAAGGAUGAUCAGCCACCCUGGGACUGAGACACGGCCCAGACUCCUACGGGAGGCAUAAGUGGGGAAUAUUGAACAAUGGGCGCAAGCCUGAUCCACCCAAAUAUUGUGAGUGAUGAAGGCCCUAAUGUUGUAAUGCUUUUUCACCGGUGAAGAUAAUUCCGGUUACCGGAAAAGAACCCCCGGCUAAAUUCGUGCCAGCAUCAUAACCUAAUACGAAGGGGGCUACCCGUUGAUCAGAUUUCCUGUAACUAAAGGCCACGUACGCGGAUAUUACGGACGGGGGCUGAAAUCCCUCGGAUCAACCCCGGAACUGCCUUUGAUACUGGGAUCUCUCGAGUAUGGAUAGAAGUUACUCGAAUUCCCAAGUGUGAACUUCAAAUUCAUAUAUUUCCUAGGAACAUCAGUGGGGGAAGGUAGAAUCACUGGACCAUUACUGAACUUGAGGUACAUAUCCGGGAAGACCAAAGGGGAUGGAUACCCUGGG